UACGUAGGGUGCGAGCGUUGUCCGGAAUUACUGGGCGUAAAGAGCUCGUAGGUGGUUUGUCGCGUUGUCCGUGAAAACUCACAACUCAAUUGUGGGCGUGCGGGCGAUACGGGCAGACUGGAGUACUGCAGGGGAGACUGGAAUUCCUGGUGUAGCGGUGGAAUGCGCAGAUAUCAGGAGGAACACCGGUGGCGAAGGCGGGUCUCUGGGCAGUAACUGACGUGGAGGAGCGAAAGCGUGGGGAGCGAACAGGA
rnacentral:rRNA from 1 species